UGUCUCCUCCACCCUCCUCCUUUGGUGGAUUAAACCCGAACCGCUCGUUCGGGUUUUUUUUC
rnacentral:ncRNA from 1 species